rnacentral:rRNA from 1 species
CCUACGGGUGGCUGCAGUGGGGAAUAUUGGACAAUGGGCGCAAGCCUGAUCCAGCAAUACCGCGUGUGUGAAGAAGGCCUGAGGGUUGUAAAGCACUUUCACUAGGGAGGAAAACCUGCCGGCCAAUACCCGGCAGCUUGACAUUACCUAUAGAAGAAGCACCGGCUAACUCCGUGCCAGCAGCCGCGGUAAUACGGAGGGUGCAAGCGUUAAUCGGAAUUACUGUGGGUGAUUCGUGCAGACACAGGUGAAAGCCCCGGGCUUAACCUGGGAACUGCAUUUGAUACUGGGCAACUAGAGUUUAAUAGAGGAGAGUGGAAUUUCAGGUGUAGCGGUGAAAUGCGUAGAGAUCUGAAGGAACACCAGUGGCGAAGGCGACUCUCUGGAUUAAAACUGACGCUGAGGUACGAAAGCGUGGGUAGCAAACAGGAUUAGAUACCCGGGUAGUC